UACGUAGGUGGCAAGCGUUAUCCGGAAUUAUUGGGCGUAAAGAGUGAGCAGGCGGCAUGACAAGUCUGGAGUGAAAGCGUAAGGCUCAACCUUAUACAGCUUUAGAAACUAUCAAGCUAGAGUACGAGAGAGGUAAACGGAAUUCCAUGUGUAGCGGUGAAAUGCGUAGAUAUAUGGAGGAACACCAGUGGCGAAGGCGGUUUACCAGCUCGAAACUGACGCUCAGUCACGAAAGCGUGGGUAGCAAAUA
rnacentral:rRNA from 1 species